ensembl:lncRNA
UUUUGUACACUGACAAGAGAAGGUAAGAAGUGUAUUCACAUUACUCAUGUUCCUGGGUAAGAGAUGUGGAAUGUAAAGACAUGUACAAAAGCAAUACGUUUUUUUAUAAUGUGGUGCUUUAUGUUACACUGAAUAGUAUGUGAUCAGUGGAAACGAUUUAUUGGUAACUAUCCAUUUUUUUCUCAUCUAUAUUCUUUUAGUUCCUUUUUAAACUAUUUCCGAGAAUAUGGAGAAGCAUGAAUUGGCCUUAACUAAUCUCUGUGUCGCAGAGCGAGCAAGCUGGAGCAAUCAACUAAGGCAUGAUCACCGUCUGAAAAGACAUAUUAAUUUCAAUUAUCUGACUUCAUAAAAAGCCCUGAUCGCAGGAAAGCAAACACAAAUGGUUGAUGCGCCCAUUUCUUUCACUAAAUAGAGGCCAUUUAAUGGGGGGGGAGGCAAUAAUUAAGUAUCAAAGAUGGCUUCAGCAAGCUGCACUCAAUGGGCCCAUAUAUUGAUUGAAACACCUAAGCCGUUCCUAGCAUGGCUGUAGGAAGCAAUGAUCCCUCCUUCCAAAGCAGUCGCUUAAUGUCUAAUUCAAUUAAUGAAGCAAUCAGUUCUUAGGAAGAGGGAAUUUAUACCAGAAGGUUUCAGUGAGAAUGCUUCAUCAGAUUUCAUUUGGGAAAAUCUCCCUUCCUCGCAAAGAAAUAGUCCAGUUGUUUCAUUAUAUUUCACUUCUCUCCUCAGAUGCGUAGAAUCCAUAAUCCAUAAUGAGGCAUUCACUUACGAUGAUUGGGUGAAGUGCAUUAAUACCAGUAAUCUGCAUUACUGUGAUGGAGGUCAUUAAGAGUCUCUGUUAUAUAUGCCAUGGCAAUGUACCACUCAGCUGACUUGGCAUUUGUGGAGUUCACAGCAGUAAUUUCACUUCAAAGUUGGCCAUGACACUGAAUGAGUGUUGAAUUGGAUCUUGCAAUGGAACUGUGGCAAUGUUUCUGUUCAUCAGUUGGUUUGUUUACACACUUUCGCCAUUUCUAUGCAUCAAAUCAUCCCGCCACUCACUUACAAACAGCUUGCAUCACGCUGACGACAUCUUGUGGGCACAGGGGCACAUCUUGUGGGCACAGGCCUAUAAAUAUCCCCUCUGCGUGGAGCGCGUGGAGCCCACAUAUAGCAUCUCUUCAGCUAAUCACACACUGCACAUCCUAUGGCCGCAUGGCAGUCUGUAAUUCUGUGUGCUGAACUGUACCGAGGGCAGGGCAGUAUGACAAAGCAGCACGAUGAAAACUCUUUGUGUUUAAAAACAAGGAGCUUCGGGAGACAAGCAGAGAGAGAGGGGCAUCUUGAGACACCGUGGCUUUAACGCCAAACCGCAAUACUCCCUACCUGCAGUUAGAAGUCUGUACAAUACUUCUCCCUACCUGC